GUCGUUUACCUGUUAUCGGCAAUUCCUCCCUCAGAGCUCUAGUCUCUCUCUCAGACCCCUGCGAAUUCCUCUUACCUUGAGCCUCGGACCUUGAAACCGAAGCCGGUCCUCCCAACCCUCGCGAAUUUCUCUCUCAGACUCUCAGUCUUCUGAAUCACUCGCGAUUCGCGAAUUCCCUUUCUGAAUCACCGGCGAAUACCCUUCCUGAAUCACGCCGUCCCCGUCUCACAGCUCGCUGCCUCCUUGCCGUCGCUCAAUGGCUAAGCUUAACUCCUCUCCUUACAAUUAACUAGUUGGAUUUUCACCAAGUUGAAGGUCAAACAAAGUAUAACUCGAAGCACUGGAAUCUGAGAGCAAGAGCAUAUAGAUAUCUUGUUAUGCAUUGAACAUGCAGAUAGGGUCAACAGUCAUCAUGGACUCUGAGGUACAUCCUCAUCAGGGGAGCUUCUUGGUUCAGGAUGGAGGUCCAGUUGUAGCCCCAACCAUCUCAACUCAUGUCGCACAGCAGCAGCCUAUGAAAAAAACAACACGGCAAUGGGCUGCUUGGACACAUCAAGAGGAGGAAAGUUUCUUUUCUGCGUUACGACAAGUUGGGAA
rnacentral:sRNA from 1 species